GCGGCGUGCUUAACACAUGCAAGUCGAACGGUGAACACGGAGCUUGCUCUGUGGGAUCAGUGGCGAACGGGUGAGUAACACGUGAGCAACCUGCCCCUGACUCUGGGAUAAGCGCUGGAAACGGCGUCUAAUACUGGAUAUGUGACGUGACCGCAUGGUCUGCGUUUGGAAAGAUUUUUCGGUUGGGGAGGGGCUCGCGGCCUAUCAGCUUGUUGGUGAGGUAAUGGCUCACCAAGGCGUCGACGGGUAGCCGGCCUGAGAGGGUGACCGGCCACACUGGGACUGAGACACGGCCCAGACUCCUACGGGAGGCAGCAGUGGGGAAUAUUGCACAAUGGGCGAAAGCCUGAUGCAGCAACGCCGCGUGAGGGAUGACGGCCUUCGGGUUGUAAACCUCUUUUAGCAGGGAAGAAGCGAAAGUGACGGUACCUGCAGAAAAAGCGCCGGCUAACUACGUGCCAGCAGCCGCGGUAAUACGUAGGGCGCAAGCGUUAUCCGGAAUUAUUGGGCGUAAAGAGCUCGUAGGCGGUUUGUCGCGUCUGCUGUGAAAUCCCGAGGCUCAACCUCGGGCCUGCAGUGGGUACGGGCAGACUAGAGUGCGGUAGGGGAGAUUGGAAUUCCUGGUGUAGCGGUGGAAUGCGCAGAUAUCAGGAGGAACACCGAUGGCGAAGGCAGAUCUCUGGGCCGUAACUGACGCUGAGGAGCGAAAGGGUGGGGAGCAAACAGGCUUAGAUACCCUGGUAGUCCACCCCGUAAACGUUGGGAACUAGUUGUGGGGUCCAUUCCACGGAUUCCGUGACGCAGCUAACGCAUUAAGUUCCCCGCCUGGGGAGUACGGCCGCAAGGCUAAAACUCAAAGGAAUUGACGGGGACCCGCACAAGCGGCGGAGCAUGCGGAUUAAUUCGAUGCAACGCGAAGAACCUUACCAAGGCUUGACAUAUACGAGAACGGGCCA
rnacentral:rRNA from 1 species